rnacentral:lncRNA from 12 species
CACUUGUUGUGGCAAAGUCAGGAUGGUCGUUUUGAUGCUGGAACAUUGCUGGGACUGUUUUCUAAUUAUAAUUAGAUUCUGUUACUUUUCCAGUGUCAUUAUCAGAGACACAGUCAUGUGUGCUUGCUUUAAAAUGCUGCUGGCCCUGCUAAUUAUUCUGGGCACAAGGGAACUCCACAGGCAGAGGGGAAAUAAUUCCAGUCCCAGGAGCGCCUCCUUCAGAUGA